rnacentral:rRNA from 1 species
AGUCACGACGCAUAUCAAUAAGCGGAGGAAAAGAAACCAACAGGGAUUGCCUCAGUAACGGCGAGUGAAGCGGCAAGAGCUCAAAUUUGAAAGCUGGCCCCUUCGGGGUCCGCGUUGUAAUUUGCAGAGGAUGCUUCGGGUGCAGCCCCCGUCUAAGUGCCCUGGAACGGGCCGUCAUAGAGGGUGAGAAUCCCGUCUGGGACGGGGUGUCUGCGUCCGUGUGAAGCUCCUUCGACGAGUCGAGUUGUUUGGGAAUGCAGCUCUAAAUGGGUGGUAAAUUUCAUCUAAAGCUAAAUACUGGCCGGAGACCGAUAGCGCACAAGUAGAGUGAUCGAAAGAUGAAAAGCACUUUGAAAAGAGAGUUAAACAGCACGUGAAAUUGUUGAAAGGGAAGCGUUUGCGACCAGACUCGCCCGCGGGGUUCAGCCGGCAUUCGUGCCGGUGUACUUCCCCGUGGGCGGGCCAGCGUCGGUUUGGGCGGCCGGUCAAAGGCCCUCGGAAUGUAUCACCUCUCGGGGUGUCUUAUAGCCGAGGGUGCAAUGCGGCCUGCCUGGACCGAGGAACGCGCUUCGGCUCGGACGCGGCGUAAGGUCG